UACGGGGGGAGCAAACGUUGUUCGGAAUCACUGGGCGUAAAGGGCGUGUAGGCGGCUGAAUAAGUGGGAUGUUAAAUCCCCCGGCUCAACCGGGGAACUGCAUCUCAUACUGUUCAGCUUGGGUACAGCAGAGGAGACUGGAAUUCCCGGUGUAGCGGUGAAAUGCGCAGAUAUCAGGAGGAACACCAAUGGCGAAGGCAGCACUCUGGGACGUGACUGACGCUGAGACGCGAAAGCGUGGGGAGCAAACAGG
rnacentral:rRNA from 1 species